UACGAAGGGUGCAAACGUUGCUCGGAAUUAUUGGGCGUAAAGCGCGCGUAGGCGGCUAUUUAAGUCUGGUGUUUAAUCCUGGGGCUCAACCCCGGGUCGCACUGGAAACUGGGUGGCUUGAGUGCAGAAGAGGAGAGUGGAAUUCCACGUGUAGCGGUGAAAUGCGUAGAGAUGUGGAGGAACACCAGUGGCGAAGGCGACUCUCUGGGCUGUAACUGACGCCGAGGCGCGAAAGCGUGGGGAGCAAACAGG
rnacentral:rRNA from 1 species